UUUCGCGGCAGAUUUAGUUUAGUUUGGCGGGGGUAAAUGGCCCCACCAAAGAAUGAAUCUGUAUUCCGGGCUCUGAGGAGGAGCGCACGGGACCACCACUGGGAAACUGAACACGGGUCCCAGACUCCCUACGGGGAGGGCCAGCCAGUGGGGGAAAUUUUGCGCGAAGGGGGAAAACCCCUGACGCGAGCGAACGCCGCGUGGAGGAAUGAAAAUAUUCUUGGGUGUUAAACUCCCUUUUCGAUUAGGGAAAGAAUUUAUGACGGGUUACCCUAUAGAAAGAACCCCCGGGCUUAACUUUCGUGCCCAGCCAGCCCGCGGUUAAUACGAAGGGGGGGCCAAGUUGUUUCGGAAAUUUAUUGGGGCGUUAAAGGGGCGCGUAGGGCGGUUUGACCAAGUUCACGUGAAAAUCUAUGGGGCUCAACCCAUAGUCUGCGAUGGAAAACUGUCGGGCUUGAAUGGGAGAGGUGAGUGGAAUUUCCGGUGUAGCGGUGAAAUGCGUAGAUAUCGGAAGGAACCUGAGGCGAAAGCGGCUCACUGGACCAUAACUGACGCUGAGGCGCGAAAGCUAGGG
rnacentral:rRNA from 1 species